AGCUUGCUGGGAUCGACACCGCGUGUCACCACCAGGUAGUCGCGUAGCGCGAUGCUGUGGCGGCCCUC
rnacentral:sRNA from 1 species